rnacentral:lncRNA from 12 species
AUGUUGGAGACCCAAGGCAAGGUUUCAGCCCUGAGAGGGAAUAGCAUGGCUGCAGAGAAGGGUGCUUUCCGGAAGUGCUGGGUGACCAACGUUGCAAAUGUUCACCAAUACCCACUUCUUCUCUACCUCCGGCAUGGGGAGAAUUACGCUUUCUCAUCCUUGAAGUUACGAAUGACCGUGGGGUCCGCAUCCUGGCCAGUGAAAUGGUCUGUCAUUCAGGGUAAGAGCUACUGCUCCCUUCUGCGCCCUGUCCUCCUCGGGGACGGGAACAGCGCGCGGUGCCACGGAAGGAACAUCCGACCCAGGCAGACGGGGCGGCUGCACCCCUGCGGGGCAGAGGGCUGUGUCCACGCCUUCCUGGAGCCCACGGUGGCACCGCAAGAGCAGGAAAUAAUAGUGUGUUUUAAGCUCCCGAGGUUUCGAGAUUUCACGUGACUGAAGCAAAACCCGCCCCAUCGUGCCUGAUGUAGGUGGUGCUGCGCAGUGUGAAUCAGCGUGGACUUGGAGGUGGGUUGGGGAAGAAGAAGGGACGGUAAAAUGAGAAGCGCCUUUUUGCCUGGUCUAUCUCUUUUCUGGGCAUUAAGGAAUGGAACUUAACUUUGAAACUUCUUCCAGUUUCACCUCGGUGGCUGGACACGGCUCCUCUGAGCCUGAGGAUUGUGGUCCAACCUGCCGCUCAGGCCACGGCGGCGGUGGGGGGGGGGGUGCAGCAGCGAGGGACAGAGGGACAGGCCACGCAUCCCGGGUUACGAAGGGACUGGACCUCCCGUUACAUCCCUCCCUGGACUCCUACUCCUCUGCCUCUUGGAAAGGGCUGAAGGCCACGUGUAGAAAGCUCAUUUCUUGGAUUUCUGCCUUGGCGGCAACAUUUUCCAGGUCGUCCGUUGAAGUGGAAGUUGUCGGUCAAGUUUAACCAUUUCAUCUUUGGGAGCUUUUCUGGAGAGUGAGAACAGCAGUGCCCCCCAUCCUUUCCCCGACGUCUCAGCCACCGCUUUGCGGGAGCCUUAGGGGUGCCGGUGCCCCAGGCCGGGAUGAUGAGCAUUUUCCCCACGUAAUUGAACGUGGGCUUUAGGACACGUCUCAGAUGGCUUCACGUCUACCCGCAUCGCUAGGCUUGACUCCGGGGCUUGAUCUGUAACGUUGGGUCGGGGGGAGUCCAAAGUCGGAGGGACGAUUUGGGACGAUCAGUGGGCAUUUUCAAUACGGAGAGGCUCUCCUGAUAUUCCGGCCUUCUUCCUUGUUACACUCACCAGGGCUUCCCUUUGCCCCCCUUUACUCUGCUUAGUCAUGUCUGGGGUUGAUGAGUGUGGCUCAAAAACUCAGAUUCCAGAAGCUAAGCAGCCUCUCCCCCCUCCCCCAGUGCUAAGAAGAGAGACUUAAGGUCUGAGUCGACGCGCAGAAUGAUUUCUUCGGCUUCAUUCCUGGAGUCCUCUCCUUCCUCACAAAGCAUUUGUUCUUUUAAAGGAACCAAUAUGUUUGUGUAACUGAUGUGAAACAAGCUUGACUCCAAAAAGAUUUCGCUUAAUAUCUGCCUAUGCAUUCGGGGGGCCGGCCGUCCACGGGGUGUGCAUUAAAGGCCCUGGCGGUGGCCCAGCUCGUCACGUAUGAUAUUGGGCACGCAAAUGUGACGUGAUGCCCAUGUCCUCUUGAGGGUAAUUCGAUGUGCCAGCCAGCUCGAUGGGCAGAGAAGCUAUAAACACAGUUGUCACAAGUGAGAAAGAGCGCUGGGUCGACGGCGGGCUGGAGAGGCAGGCAGCAUUGGAACCUGUCUCCAAGCCCUAAUGAAAGUGUUAAUUAGUGUGGUACAGAAUUUACGGUGAGGACGGCCUCUCCGCCGGACCCCUCCGCUGACACGCUCCUCAGCCCCGCUCCUUUCUCUUGCCCUGGCUCCUCGGGCCUCCUCUCCGGGGCGAAGCAAAUCCGGAGGAGGCAGGAGGGGAUUGCGCAGCGGAAGGGAUGCUUUCGGGGGGCCCUUUUGCUAAAAUGGGAAGGGCCAGCGGGGCACAGGGCUGUCUGAUGUUUAUAGGAAUAAGUACACAUUUAAUCUACAUAAUCAUCAAUCUUUCUUUAUGUAAAAAUGAUUAGUAAAUAGGGUUUUUAAGCAACUGUUUAGUUUACACAUUGGCAUCAUAGAUUAACUUAUUUCUAAAACACUUGAUUUUAUCACUCUGCCUAAUGAUUUGUCACAUGAUUUAUUGGGUAAUAUGAUAAAUCAUGUGCAAUUUAUUGUUUAUCCUAUAAAGAGUGCAACAAUUCAUUAAACAGUGAUGAAACCCAGCGGUUGUGCAGGAAAGCCCACCUUGUUGGCGGCCGCACUCGGCGGGGCGAACACUGUUCCGGGAGUGGGGUGGUCCCCUCUCUCUGUGUCCAGGUUUACAGCCAGGGGCAGUUAGGCUGCGCUAAAAUUAAAUAGUUUUAGAAAAUAAUGGUGCAGUCAUAAUCUUAUACUCUAGCCAUAUUUAUUUUAUAUGGAAAAAUAAAGUCUAAAGCCUGAUGGGUGUUAAAUCCGUG